rnacentral:rRNA from 1 species
AGAGUUUGAUCAUGGCUCAGAGCGAACGCUGGCGGCAGGCUUAACACAUGCAAGUCGAGCGGAUGUAGCAAUACAUCAGCGGCAGACGGGUGAGUAACACGUGGGAACGUACCUUUUGGUUCGGAACAACACAGGGAAACUUGUGCUAAUACCGGAUAAGCCCUUACGGGGAAAGAUUUAUCGCCGAAAGAUCGGCCCGCGUCUGAUUAGCUAGUUGGUGAGGUAACGGCUCACCAAGGCGACGAUCAGUAGCUGGUCUGAGAGGAUGAUCAGCCACAUUGGGACUGAGACACGGCCCAAACUCCUACGGGAGGCAGCAGUGGGGAAUAUUGGACAAUGGGGGCAACCCUGAUCCAGCCAUGCCGCGUGAGUGAUGAAGGCCCUAGGGUUGUAAAGCUCUUUUGUGCGGGAAGAUAAUGACGGUACCGCAAGAAUAAGCCCCGGCUAACUUCGUGCCAGCCGCCGCGGUAAUUC